GAUGAACGCUGGCGGCGUGCUUAACACAUGCAAGUCGAACGAAGCAUUUAGGACAGAUUACUUCGGUUUGAAGUUCUUUAUGACUGAGUGGCGGACGGGUGAGUAACGCGUGGGUAACCUGCCUUGUACUGGGGGAUAGCAGCUGGAAACGGCUGGUAAUACCGCAUAAGCGCACAAUGUUGCAUGACAUGGUGUGAAAAACUCCGGUGGUAUAAGAUGGACCCGCGUCUGAUUAGCUAGUUGGUGAGAUAACAGCCCACCAAGGCGACGAUCAGUAGCCGACCUGAGAGGGUGACCGGCCACAUUGGGACUGGGACACGGCCCAGACUCCUACGGGAGGCAGCAGUGGGGAAUAUUGCACAAUGGAGGAAACUCUGAUGCAGCGACGCCGCGUGAGUGAAGAAGUAAUUCGUUAUGUAAAGCUCUAUCAGCAGGGAAGAUAGUGACGGUACCUGACUAAGAAGCUCCGGCUAAAUACGUG
rnacentral:rRNA from 1 species